rnacentral:rRNA from 1 species
UACGGGAAGGGCAAGCGUUAUCCGGCGUGACUGGGCGUAAAGAGUCCGUAGACGGUAAAGUAAGUUUAUUGUUAAAUAUUAAAACUUAAUUUUAAUAGAGCAAUAAGUACUGCUUUACUUUGAGUUUAAUAUAGAAAAGUAGAAUUUUAUAUGGUAGGGGUGAAAUCCGUAGAUAUAUAAAGGAAUGUCAAUAGCGAAGGCAACUUU